AUGAGUUGUUUUCUAAAAUAAUUUUCAGUCAAAAUUAAUUAAUUUAUUUUUCAGUAUAAAUGCUUAUUAGUUUUAGAGCUGAUAAAUAGAAAUGAUAAAUUACUGGUGUAAGAAGUAUAGUGUAACAUAUUAAUGUAGCAUCUUAUACAUAAGUGCAAAUAAGAAGAUUAUUAAUGUAAACCAAUGUAUUUAUAAGCAAAGGAAGUAGAAUAAAUUCUUUUUUGGAUCUUCAGACUGAAUGGAUUUUCUGGUCCCUUACUCAUAAUUCUGAGAUAUAAUCAAUAAGACUAAUGUUUAUUCUUCUUUGCCCCUUAACUUAUUGUCCCAUAGUCUCUCAUAAGCAUUAAAAUUGACUUAACAAACUCCUGAUUAUAUUCUUGGAGCAUUCUUUUUGGUUUUGUUCUAGGAAGUCACUUUUAAAAGUGGUAUAAUGUUUCCAAAUUAUAAACAGUUUGCAGUAAUAAUAUUAAUAACAAUACAUUUUAUGGCACUGGUAGAUACACAAGAAGAUAGGAACCAAUGAGAAUGGGGAUUUGGUAUGGAAUAUAGUUUAUCAUCUGUCAGAAUAUGAAGCAUGAGAAGGCAGUUGUUCUCCUUCUUCACUGCUCUUCCCUUCACCUUGAACAAUUUCCUGCCCAGUCUAGAGCACGUAUAUUUGGAAUGAUAUAUAUUGCCAAAGGAAACACAUAAGUAAAAACCUGAGGUGAAGUGGCUAUUUCAGUCAUCAGAGUUUUCCUGGGGUACUUAUAUUACAUUUCUAUUUUCUUGCUUGAUGUCUUUGUCCUUCUGUGAGUCUCUUGGAUCCCAAAUGUUUGGGUGUAAAGCCUUUUUCCUUAUUUGACUCAAUAACAUGUUAAUGUCCCUAUAGAUUUCCAACGUAGAUGCCAAAACAGAUUCAGAAAGUAAUUUGCACAUAAAUUAGAUCAAAUGUUGUAGGUAGUAUAAAUCUAUAAGUAAAUAUUGUCACAUUCAAAUACUGGACUUUGUAACUCAUAUUAAAAGGAUGGAUGUCAUGGCAAAUCAUGUACCAUACCAAACUAAUGGAAGCAAGGUAAGGAUUUUAAAAACUGGUGAAUUCAACUAGCCCAAGUCUCUUUUCUCAAUAAUAUAUGAAUGCACUUCUUCUUAACGAUAAAAACAAAAGAAAAAAAAAAACCAAAAAAUAAGCCUAUGUUUGAAAUAAACUACAUAAUGAGCACAAGCAUAAAUUACAUAAAAUGCACACAAUUAUCAGUUCCUUUUCUGUCAAGUUAAAGGCAUCAUUGGAAGCUUCUCAAAUUUGAUCUGAUUUAUAUUCAAAUUACUUUUUAUAAAAUAGACAUUUAGUGCUUUAAGGAUGGCACAAUUAAAAAAUGAUAUAUAUUCUUUCUGAAAAUAAUAUUGGUAACAUCCUGUGGAAACUUGCUCCCAAAAUUGAGGGAGCCUCACUCAUGUGAAGGUAGCCACAUGACUGCUUCAGAACAUAAACAAUGUUUUACAUACUAGUGCUGAACAAAAAAUGACACCCUUGCUGAAAGCCACUUCUGCUGUGUGGCUCCAACAAAUGAUUUAUACGUUUAGUGAGAUGGCAGGGAAUUUUUUCAACUAAUGCAAAAUAUUCUAGAAACAAAACAAAAAAAGAAACUCUUACCGAGAAGUCUCUAAAAGGGUAUGAGGUUUCUUAUUUUACAUUCAUUAACUUUUUAUUUUAUUAAAAGUUCAGAAAUAGGGUAUUGGUCAUGCAUUGUAAACUCACCAUCUGGGUCCACUCAGCUUUCUGAGGGGUUUCCCCUAGUGUUACAAACUUGUGAAGAUGUAUUUCAUGUUUAAAAAAAAAUCAGGUAUUUAAUUGUAUAUGUGUAUAUAUGUAUAUAAAAUAUAUAUGUGUGUGUAUAAGAUAAAAUGCAUGUGCAUAAAAAUGCAUGUUCUUGUAAAGUGUUGGAAGUUUAAAUACAGAUAUAUAGUUUUAAAAAAUUACAUCAAUCAGUAUGGAAAGGCUUACAAUGAAAAAGAAACCUUUCUUUAUCCCAUUUCACCUUAUUCCCAGUCCUGCCCAUAUUAACCAAUUUUAAUAGUUUCUGCCUUUUAUGCUUAUAGAAACAACAUCUGUAUCUUCAUUUUUUUACUGUUUAUGUAUUUAUCUUGGGGUGGGGGGGAGCACAAGAGCAGGGGAAGGGCAGAUUGAGAGGGAGAGAGAGAAUCCCAAGGAGGCUUCUUCUUGUCGGCACAGAACCAGUUGGGACUGGAUCUCACCAACUGUGAGAUCAUGACCUGAGCUGAAAUCAAGAGUUGGAUGGUUACUUAAAGGUCUUUAUCUUUAAAUAGAUAUUUGAGGGGCGCCUGGGUGGCUCAGUCAGUUGAACAUCUGACUCUUGAUUUCAGCUCAGUUUGUGAUCUCAUGGUUGUGAGAUCAAGCCCCAUGUCAGGCUUCGUGCUGAGCCUUGAAGACUGCUUAGGAUUUUCUCUCUCUCCCUCUGCUCCUCUCCCCUCCUGGCACUCUCUCUCUAAAACAAACAAACAAACAAACAAACAAAACAAAAAAAUUAAAAAACUA